rnacentral:rRNA from 1 species
CCUACGGGAGGCAGCAGUGAGGAAUAUUGGUCAAGGGACGAGAGUCUGAACCAGCCAAGUAGCGUGAAGGAUGACUGCCCUAUGGGUUGUAAACUUCUUUUAUAUGGGAAUAAAAUGUUCCACGUGUGGGAUUUUGUAUGUACCAUAUGAAUAAGGAUCGGCUAACUCCGUGCCAGCAGCCGCGGUAAUACGGAGGAUACGAGAGUUAUCCGGAUUUAGUGGGUUUAAAGGGAGCGUAGGUGGAUUGUUAAGUCAGUUGUGAAAGUUUGCGGCUCAACCGUAAAAUUGCAGUUGAAACUGGCAGUCUUGAGUACAGUAGAGGUGGGCGGAAUUCGUGGUGUAGCGGUGAAAUGCUUAGAUAUCACGAAGAACUCCGAUUGCGAAGGCAGCUCACUGGACUGCAACUGACACUGAGGCUCGAAAGUGUGGGUAUCAAACAGGAUUAGAUACCCCUGUAGUC